rnacentral:tRNA from 1 species
GGAGAGGUGACCGAGCUGGUCGAAGGUGCACGACUGGAAAUCGUGUGUGCUCCAAAAGGGCACCGUGGGUUCGAAUCCCACCCUCUCCG